rnacentral:rRNA from 1 species
UUAAAUUGAAGAGUUUGAUCAUGGCUCAGAUUGAACGCUGGCGGCAGGCCUAACACAUGCAAGUCGAACGGUAACAGGAAGCAGCUUGCUGCUUUGCUGACGAGUGGCGGACGGGUGAGUAAUGUCUGGGAAACUGCCUGAUGGAGGGGGAUAACUACUGGAAACGGUAGCUAAUACCGCAUAACGUCGCAAGACCAAAGAGGGGGACCUUAGGGCCUCUUGCCAUCGGAUGUGCCCAGAUGGGAUUAGCUAGUAGGUGGGGUAACGGCU